rnacentral:rRNA from 1 species
UACGUAGGGGGCAAGCGUUGUCCGGAAUCAUUGGGCGUAAAGAGCGUGUAGGCGGCUCGAUAAGUCUGCUGUGAAAGUCCAGGGCUCAACCCUGGAAGGCCGGUGGAAACUGUCGGGCUAGAGUCCGGAAGAGGCGAGUGGAAUUCCCGGUGUAGCGGUGGAAUGCGCAGAUAUCAGGAAGAACACCAACGGCGAAGGCAGCUCGCUGGGACGGAACUGACGCUAAGGCGCGAAAGCGUGGGGAGCGAACAGG